rnacentral:rRNA from 1 species
GACGAACGCUGGCGGCGUGCUUAACACAUGCAAGUCGAACGAAGUGGCGCACGGGUGAGUAACGCGUAAUCAACCUGCCCUUCAGAGGGUGACAACAGUUGGAAACGACUGCUAAUACCGCAUACUGAAGGAGGGGAUUGCGUCUGGUUAGCUAGUUGGCGGGGUAACGGCCCACCAAGGCGAUGAUCAGUAGCCGGGCUGAGAGGAUUAACGGCCAAAAUGGGACUGGAACACGGCCCAGGCUCCUACGGGGGGCAGCAGUGGGGAAUCUUCCGAAAUGGACGAAAGUCUGACGGAGCAACGCCGCGUUGGUGAUGACGGCCUUCGGGUUGUAAAGCUAUGUUAAUCGGGACGCGGUACCGGAAUAGAAAGCAACGGCUAACUACGUGCCAGCAGCCGCGGUAAUAC